rnacentral:rRNA from 1 species
AUUGAACGCUGGCGGCGUGCUUAACACAUGCAAGUCGAUCGGUAACGCGGGGGCAACCCUGGCGACGAGAGGCGGACGGGUGAGGAACGCUUGGGAAUCUGCCUAUCAGCGGGGGACAACACGGGGAAACUCGUGCUAAUACCGCAUACGCUCUACGGAGGAAAGCCGGGGACCGCAAGGCCUGGCACUGAUAGAUGAGCCCAAGCCGGAUUAGCUAGUUGGCGGGGUAACGGCCCACCAAGGCGACGAUCCGUAGCUGGUCUGAGAGGACGAUCAGCCACCCUGGAACUGAGACACGGUCCAGACUACUACGGGAGGCAGCAGUGGGGAAUAUUGGACAAUGGGGGAAACCCUGAUCCAGCGACGCCGCGUGGGUGAAGAAGGCCUGCGGGUUGUAAAGCCCUUUCGGUAGGGACGAAAGCUCUCGGCCUAACACGUCGGGAGGUUGACUUAACCUACAAAAGAAGCACCGGCUAACUCUGUGCCAGCCGCCGCAGUAAUAC